AAGUCGAGCGAACUGAUUAGAAGCUUGCUUCUAUGACGUUAGCGGCGGACGGGUGAGUAACACGUGGGCAACCUGCCUGUAAGACUGGGAUAACUUCGGGAAACCGAAGCUAAUACCGGAUAGGAUCUUCUCCUUCAUGGGAGAUGAUUGAAAGAUGGUUUCGGCUAUCACUUACAGAUGGGCCCGCGGUGCAUUAGCUAGUUGGUGAGGUAACGGCUCACCAAGGCAACGAUGCAUAGCCGACCUGAGAGGGUGAUCGGCCACACUGGGACUGAGACACGGCCCAGACUCCUACGGGAGGCAGCAGUAGGGAAUCUUCCGCAAUGGACGAAAGUCUGACGGAGCAACGCCGCGUGAGUGAUGAAGGCUUUCGGGUCGUAAAACUCUGUUGUUAGGGAAGAACAAGUACGAGAGUAACUGCUCGUACCUUGACGGUACCUAACCAGAAAGCCACGGCUAACUACGUGCCAGCAGCCGCGGUAAUACGUAGGUGGCAAGCGUUAUCCGGAAUUAUUGGGCGUAAAGCGCGCGCAGGCGGUUUCUUAAGUCUGAUGUGAAAGCCCACGGCUCAACCGUGGAGGGUCAUUGGAAACUGGGGAACUUGAGUGCAGAAGAGAAAAGCGGAAUUCCACGUGUAGCGGUGAAAUGCGUAGAGAUGUGGAGGAACACCAGUGGCGAAGGCGGCUUUUUGGUCUGUAA
rnacentral:rRNA from 1 species